rnacentral:rRNA from 1 species
UUUAUGGAGAGUUUGAUCCUGGCUCAGGAUGAACGCUGGCGGCGUGCCUAAUACAUGCAAGUCGAGCGAACAGAUAAGGAGCUUGCUCCUUUGACGUUAGCGGCGGACGGGUGAGUAACACGUGGGUAACCUACCUAUAAGACUGGAAUAACUCCGGGAAACCGGGGCUAAUGCCGGAUAACAUGUUGAACCGCAUGGUUCUACAGUGAAAGACGGUCUUGCUGUCACUUAUAGAUGGACCCGCGCCGUAUUAGCUAGUUGGUGGGGUAACGGCCUACCAAGGCGACGAUACGUAGCCGACCUGAGAGGGUGAUCGGCCACACUGGAACUGAGACACGGUCCAGACUCCUACGGGAGGCAGCAGUAGGGAAUCUUCCGCAAUGGGCGAAAGCCUGACGGAGCAACGCCGCGUGAGUGAUGAAGGUCUUCGGAUCGUAAAGCUCUGUUGUUAGGGAAGAACAAAUGUGUAAGUAACUGUGCACAUCUUGACGGUACCUAACCAGAAAGCCACGGCUAACUACGUGCCAGCAGCCGCGGUAAUACGUAGGUGGCAAGCGUUAUCCGGAAUUAUUGGGCGUAAAGCGCGCGUAGGCGGUUUUUUAAGUCUGAUGUGAAAGCCCACGGCUCAACCGUGGAGGGUCAUUGGAAACUGGAAAACUUGAGUGCAGAAGAGGAAAGUGGAAUUCCAUGUGUAGCGGUGAAAUGCGCAGAGAUAUGGAGGAACACCAGUGGCGAAGGCGGCUUUCUGGUCUGCAACUGACGCUGAUGUGCGAAAGCGUGGGGAUCAAACAGGAUUAGAUACCCUGGUAGUCCACGCCGUAAACGAUGAGUGCUAAGUGUUAGGGGGUUUCCGCCCCUUAGUGCUGCAGCUAACGCAUUAAGCACUCCGCCUGGGGAGUACGGUCGCAAGACUGAAACUCAAAGGAAUUGACGGGGACCCGCACAAGCGGUGGAGCAUGUGGUUUAAUUCGAAGCAACGCGAAGAACCUUACCAAAUCUUGACAUCCUUUGACCGCUCUAGAGAUAGAGUUUUCCUCUUCGGAGGACAAAGUGACAGGUGGUGCAUGGUUGUCGUCAGCUCGUGUCGUGAGAUGUUGGGUUAAGUCCCGCAACGAGCGCAACCCUUGAACUUAGUUGCCAUCAUUCAGUUGGGCACUCUAAGUUGACUGCCGGUGACAAACCGGAGGAAGGUGGGGAUGACGUCAAAUCAUCAUGCCCCUUAUGAUUUGGGCUACACACGUGCUACAAUGGACAAUACAAAGGGCA